rnacentral:rRNA from 1 species
UAACGCGUGAGCAACCUGCCUUUCAGAGGGGGAUAACGAUUGGAAACGAUCGCUAAUACCGCAUAACGUCCGGAUGGGACAUCCUGUCUGGACCAAAGGAGAAAUCCGCUGAGAGAUGGGCUCGCGUCCAAUUAGCUAGUUGGCGGGGUAAGGGCCCACCAAGGCGACGAUUGGUAGCCGGACUGAGAGGUUGAACGGCCACAUUGGGACUGAGACACGGCCCAGACUCCUACGGGAGGCAGCAGUGGGGAAUAUUGCACAAUGGGGGGAACCCUGAUGCAGCGACGCCGCGUGAGGGAAGAAGGUUUUCGGAUUGUAAACCUCUGUCCUCUGUGACGAUAAUGACGGUAGCAGAGGAGGAAGCCACGGCUAACUACGUGCCAGCAGCCGCGGUAAUACGUAGGUGGCGAGCGUUAUCCGGAAUUACUGGGUGUAAAGGGAGCGUAGGCGGGGGAACAAGUUGAAUGUUUAAGAUAUGGGCUCAACUCAUAUAAGCGUUCAAAACUGUUUUUCUUGAGUGAAGUAGAGGUAAGCGGAAUUCCUAGUGUAGCGGUGGAAUGCGUAAAUAUUAGGAGGAACACCAGUGGCGAAGGCGGCUUACUGGGCUUUAACUGACGCUGAGGCUCGAAAGCGUGGGUAGCAAACAGGAUUAGAUACCCUGGUAGU